AGUAUUUGGGGCCUAAUCAUGCAAGUCGAGCGGACAGAUGGGAGCUUGCUCCCUGAUGUUAGCGGCGGACGGGUGAGUAACACGUGGGUAACCUGCCUGUAAGACUGGGAUAACUCCGGGAAACCGGGGCUAAUACCGGAUGGUUGUUUGAACCGCAUGGUUCAAACAUAAAAGGUGGCUUCGGCUACCACUUACAGAUGGACCCGCGGCGCAUUAGCUAGUUGGUGAGGUAACGGCUCACCAAGGCAACGAUGCGUAGCCGACCUGAGAGGGUGAUCGGCCACACUGGGACUGAGACACGGCCCAGACUCCUACGGGAGGCAGCAGUAGGGAAUCUUCCGCAAUGGACGAAAGUCUGACGGAGCAACGCCGCGUGAGUGAUGAAGGUUUUCGGAUCGUAAAGCUCUGUUGUUAGGGAAGAACAAGUACCGUUCGAAUAGGGCGGUACCUUGACGGUACCUAACCAGAAAGCCACGGCUAACUACGUGCCAGCAGCCGCGGUAAUACGUAGGUGGCAAGCGUUGUCCGGAAUUAUUGGGCGUAAAGGGCUCGCAGGCGGUUUCUUAAGUCUGAUGUGAAAGCCCCCGGCUCAACCGGGGAGGGUCAUUGGAAACUGGGGAACUUGAGUGCAGAAGAGGAGAGUGGAAUUCCACGUGUAGCGGUGAAAUGCGUAGAGAUGUGGAGGAACACCAGUGGCGAAAGGCGACUCUC
rnacentral:rRNA from 2 species